CCUACGGGUGGCAGCAGUGGGGGAUAUUGCACAAUGGAGGAAACUCUGAUGCAGCAACGCCGCGUGAGGGAAGAAGGUCUUCGGAUUGUAAACCUCUGUCCUCAUGGACGAUAAUGACGGUACCUGAGGAGGAAGCUCCGGCUAACUACGUGCCAGCAGCCGCGGUAAUAAGUAGGGCGCAAGCGUUGUCCGGAUUUACUGGGAGUAAAGGGUGCGUAGGCGGCACUGCAAGUCAGAUGUGAAAACUAUGGGCUUAACUCAUAGAUUGCACUGGAGACUGUGGGGGUUGAGUGAAGGGGCGGCGCGCUGAAUUCGCGGUGUAGCGGUGUAAUGGUUAGAGAUAGGGAAGAACAGUAGUGGCGGAGGUGGACUUCUGGGCUUUAACUGACGCUGAGACACGUAAGCGUGGGGAGAAGACAGGAGUAGAUACCCUAGUAGUC
rnacentral:rRNA from 1 species